UCUUUGGUUAUCUAGCUGUAUGAGUGUUACUCGGCCGUCAUAAAGCUAGCUAACCGAAUGUA
ensembl:miRNA